GUCAACAUAGUUUAACAAAAACAUUAGGCUGUGGCUCUAAAAACAGAAGAUACCCCCUUCUUGUUGACC
rnacentral:tRNA from 1 species